rnacentral:rRNA from 1 species
GCGGGAAAAGCUCAAAUUUAAAAUCUGGUGGUCUUUGACCAUCCSAGUUGUAAUUUASAGAAGCGUCUUCCGCGCUGGACCGUGCAUAAGUCUCCUGGAAUGGAGCGUCAUAGAGGGUGAGAAUCCCGUCUUUGGCACGGAUGCCCAGGGCUUCUGUGAUGCGCUCUCNAAGAGUCRAGUUGKUUGGGAAUGCAGCUCAAAAUGGGUGGWGAACUCCAUCUAAAGCUAAAUAUUGGCGAGAGACCGAUAGCGAACAAGURCCGUGAGGGAAAGAUGAAAAGCACUUUGGAAAGAGAGUGAAACAGUACGUGAAAUUGUUGAAAGGGAAACGCUUGRRGUCRGUCGCGUCGACCGAGACUCAGCCUUGCCCUUGGCUUGGUGUACUUCYCGGCUGACGGGUCAGCAUCAAUUUUGAUCCUCAGAUAAUGGCAAGGGAAAUGUGGCACCUUUUUAGGUGUGUUAUAGYCCUCUGACGGAKGAGAGGGUKGGGAUUGAGGAACUCANCNCNCNCCUUUGGUGUCGGGGCCUUGGCCCACGCUACGUGCUUAGGAUGCUGGCAUAAUGGCUUUAAACGACCCGUCUUGAAACACGGACCAAGGAGUCUAACAUACCCGCGAGUGUUUGGGUGGAAAACCCAUGCGCGUAAUGAAAGUAAAAGUUGGGACCUUUGUCGUGGAGGGMACCSACGCCCGGACCAGACCUUCUGUGACGGCUCUGCGGUAGAGCGUGUAUGUUGG